rnacentral:rRNA from 1 species
GACGAACGCUGGCGGCGUGCUUAACACAUGCAAGUCGAACGAUGAACCCGGAGCUUGCUCUGGGGGAUUAGUGGCGAACGGGUGAGUAACACGUGAGUAACCUGCCCUGGACUCUGGGAUAAGCGUUGGAAACGACGUCUAAUACCGGAUAGGACCUUGGAUCGCAUGAUCUGGGGUGGAAAGUUUUUUCGGUCUGGGAUGGACUCGCGGCCUAUCAGCUUGUUGGUGAGGUAAUGGCUCACCAAGGCGUCGACGGGUAGCCGGCCUGAGAGGGUGACCGGCCACACGGGGACAGAGACACGGCCCAGACCCCUAGGGGGGGGAGCAGGGGGAAAUAUUGCAAAAGGGGCAAAGCCCUGAUGCGGAAACGCCGGGGGGGGGAGGACGGCUUUGGGGGUUAAACCCGCUUUUAGUAGGGAAAAAGGGCUUCGGUUGGGCGGUCCCUGCAAAAAAAGGACCGGCGAACUAGG